rnacentral:misc_RNA from 1 species
GGAAAGGACGAGUCCGUGGUGUUGCGCUACGAGAAGCAACGCGAUGAAUUGUCUCGCCUGGAGCGGGUACUCGGUGAGCGUCGCGACAUGCGCGAUUGAACCUUGGCGCUAGUCGAUGACCAGCGCGGCCGCUACAUCAACGUGCUCAAGGGCACAGCCGGCGC